rnacentral:lncRNA from 1 species
GAGCCAUCUGUCAGGCACCAGAGGGCAAUUUUCAGGAGAGGAAUUUAUCAUGGUCUGAGUGAGGGGCUGAUGGAGUUCAGCUAAAGCGAGAUGUGACAAGGAUUGUCCAUGUACCCAUGAAAGCAGCUACUUGGCAGUUUUAGCUGGAAGGCCACAAUUUUUGAUUCUGACAGUCUUGUCUUUUUCUGUUCUUCAGCAACGCACUGGAGCUGAUAUAUUCUGAUGCCAGAAUCAGUGAUGUAAGUUAAUCUUUCCUGAGCCAUCGUCUUCUUCCUCUCAAAGAUGUCCUUUUGGGAAUGAUGUCUACAUGUUACAAGUGUAAACAGGGAAGGGGGGCUAGCUCUGUGGUGGGGCACAUGUUUUGCAGGGGGAAGUCCCUUUCAACCUCCCUGUAGGGGUGGAUGAGACCUUUCUCUGUCUAAAACACUGGAGAGUUACGAAUGCUCCCUGUGGACAAUAUUGGACAGAUCUAUGGUCAGAUCCUGCAUAGGGCAGUUUCUUAUGCUUGGAUAUCCACUCUCCACCUCUUUGCUCCCUUGCAGGUUUCCAGUCUUGAAUCCCAUUGCGGCAAAUUGCUGGGAGAAACCGUUUUGCCAGUUUUCAACAGCAACCUUGCUUUUGGAUUCCCUAUACCUUCAAUCUUUGGCGCUGAUCUCAUUAAUCCCACGUUCUUCUUUAUUGAGGUAAGCCAUUACUUUGAAUUGCCAUUAAAUAGUAGUAAUACUGAAAUUAUUCCAGUGGAAUGAUCAAGCAACCCUAUUAGGGAGGUUGGUAAUUUUAACAUGUUUGUGUGUGCUGGAUUGAGGGAAUGAGCUGAAAGUGAAAGGAUGAUGGCUUUUCCAGGGGGAAACUUAAACCAGACUUCCUCUGCCCACUAUUUAAGUUUCAACAUUGCCCUGAAGGGACAGCCAAACCAUCCUGGCUUUCUCCAACUCCACUUGCUUAACACUCUCAAGAAAACAAGGUCCAGAGUUCCAGAUAUGUAUUUCUGAGAUCAGUCCAUGAGGAAGGACUAAAGGAAUGAGUACAA